rnacentral:tRNA from 1 species
GUUAAUGUAGCUUAAUCUUAAAGCAAAGCACUGAAAAUGCUUAGAUGGGUAUCUAUACCCCAUAAACA